GACGUAGGGCGCGAGCGUUGUCCGGAUUUAUUGGGCGUAAAGAGCUCGUAGGCGGCUUGUCGCGUCGACUGUGAAAACCCGCGGCUCAACCGUGUGGUCUGCAGUCGAUACGGGCAGGCUAGAGUUCGGUAGGGGAGACUGGAAUUCCUGGUGUAGCGGUGAAAUGCGCAGAUAUCAGGAGGAACACCGGUGGCGAAGGCGGUUCUCUGGGCAUUACCUGACGUGAGGAGCGAAAGUGUGGGGAGCGAAACAGG
rnacentral:rRNA from 1 species